GACGUAGGGCGCGAGCGUUGUCCGGAUUUAUUGGGCGUAAAGAGCUCGUAGGCGGCUUGUCGCGUCGUUCGUGAAAACCUGGGGCUCAACUCCAGGCUUGCGGGCGAUACGGGCAGGCUAGAGUUCGGUAGGGGAGACUGGAAUUCCUGGUGUAGCGGUGAAAUGCGCAGAUAUCAGGAGGAACACCGAUGGCGAAGGCAGGUCUCUGGGCCAUAACUGACGCUGAGAAGCGAAAGCAUGGGGAGCGAACAGG
rnacentral:rRNA from 1 species